rnacentral:rRNA from 1 species
AAACGUAGGAGGCGAGCGUUAUCCGGAUUUACUGGGCGUAAAGAGCGUGUAGGCGGUUUAGUAAGUCGGACGUGAAAGCUCCCGGCUCAACUGGGAGAGGCCGUUCGAUACUGCUGGACUUGAGGGCAGUAGAGGGAGGUGGAAUUCCGGGUGUAGUGGUGAUAUGCGUAGAGAUCGGGAGGAACACCCGUGGCGAAGGCGGCUCGCUGGGCCGUACCUGACGCUAAGGCGCGAAAGCGUGGGGAGCGAACCGGAUUAGAAACCCCUGUAGUCC